CCCCACUUACAAAACAGCUCGCUCCUGAUUUGGCUGGUGCCUCUGGGUGGUACUGCGAUGCACACCGACAAAGAAGGAACAGAAGGGACCAUCUGUAGGGUGGUGCAAAAUGUAGUCAGAAGUCACAACACAGAAAGAGGAGGAGGAGGAAGAGAGAGAAAGAGAAAACUAAAAACCCUGAAGGAUGGUUCUCAAAAAUCCUAAAGGAACCACAGGGAAUUCCUUUUGAGCGCCACAGCGAGCCAGCCAGCUGAGGACUGGAAAAAUACACCAAAACCCCAAUACCCAUCUCCAUGCAAGCUCCAAAAAAGCUCUGUGCAAGUAUCAGCAUGAGAAAGAUGCACAUCACACAAUGAGCUGAAGUAAAUUGCAUGACGAAAUGGGAGAGGACUAAGGAGACAUCGUCUGUGAGCGGGGAGCACCACGUGUCCUUUGAAUUGCUGAGGAAGAAGUUUUGAAAGAUUUUCUGAACAAAGUGUAUGUUAAAUAUUUUGGGGUCCUGCAGUUGUCAUUGCGCACUUUGCUAGACACAUGAUAAUGCCUAAGUAUAUUGAGUAAAAAUAUCUAAAACCAUGGUUAAACACCAGCUUUAUAUGAAGUUGCAGAAUUAAAUGGAUAUUACCUGUGAAGACAGGGAUUUAGUGAAAUUCCUUUGGAUUUUUCACACAAGCCAAGUAUUUGAUUGCUUUUGACUUAUCUAGAGGUUUAUUUGGAUAAUGGCUGCAAAUUUGGAACCACUUUUGUACGUCAGAAGACAUCACAGACUUUCAGCGUUAUGCCCUUUGGGCUAACAUACACCCAGAGUCUUUUACAGAUUAAUGAAUCCUGUCUUACAAAGAUAGUUUAUGAAAUAUUUGUUUGUUUAUAAGAAGUCACACUAGCAAUGUCUGCUUUAGAAAAGCAUAAGAAAGGCUAAAUUUAAAAGUGAAAUGCCAAGGAAAAUUAACUUCCUGUGACAUCAGGGCAUAAUUUCAGUAAUGACAUUGUAUCCUACAAGAACUCAGAACAUUCAGUUGUGAAACAUCCAUCACUGCUAGAGAUAUUAGGUAACAAGCGAGAGGGAUUUAACCAUUUCCAUUUCUACAAAAUUUACUUCAUUUAUAUAAACUACAAAGCUGAAAGCAUCUCACUUGAGGAAGAGCUUAACAGUGAGUAAAAUACAUUGUAAAUUUUCCAACAGGGAAUCUCCUAUUUCACCUGCUUUUGUUUUCAACCAUUUUAAGGUUAGGACUAACAGCUUGUUGGGUGUCCUGUG
rnacentral:lncRNA from 1 species